rnacentral:rRNA from 1 species
UACGUAGGUGGCAAGCGUUGUCCGGAUUUAUUGGGUUUAAAGGGUGCGUAGGUGGUCUAUUAAGUCAGUGCUGAAAUAUCCCGGCUUAACCGGGAGGUGGCAUUGAUACUGAUGGACUUGAGUAGAGUCGAGGUAGGCGGAAUUGACGGUGUAGCGGUGAAAUGCUUAGAUAUCGUCAAGAACACCUAUAGCGAAGGCAGCUUACUAGGCUCUAACUGACACUGAGGCACGAAAGUGUGGGAGUCAAACAGG